rnacentral:rRNA from 1 species
UACGUAGGGUGCGAGCGUUAAUCGGAAUUACUGGGCGUAAAGCGUGCGCAGGUGGUUCGUCAAGUCUGAUGUGAAAGCCCCGGGCUCAACCUGGGAAUGGCAUUGGAAACUAGCGAGCUUGAGUGUGGCAGAGGGAGGUGGAAUUCCACGUGUAGCGGUGAAAUGCGUAGAGAUGUGGAGGAACACCGAUGGCGAAGGCAGCCUCCUGGGCCAAUACUGACGCUCAUGCACGAAAGCGUGGGGAGCAAACAGG